GGCUGGAUUGGCUAAGUGGUUAAAGCUUAGUCUCGUAAUCGAAAGGUCGCGGGAUCGAAUCCCGCUAGAGGUU
rnacentral:tRNA from 1 species